GGGAAAAAAAAAAAAAAAGCUUGCAUCUAUUAUGCUUAUUGAUAAGACAAGGAAAAUCAUAUGAGCAAUUUUGCCACUGACAUUGAGACGAAAAGCAAUAAUUAUAUUCUAUUGCUACCUCAAAUCUUCACAUAAGCUCCACAUAACAAGGGCAAGUGAUAAGUGCAACAUCUUGUACAAAUAGUAAGCCAAAACUCAGUUUCAAAUAAAUUAAUUCUAUUGAGAAAAAAUGGAUGUUUGUGCUUGUGGUGUAAAGAAGAAACUGUGAUCACACCUUCUACCUUGCAGUAAUAUAAAAGAAAACAAAAUGCACAUAAUGGUCCACUGAUUUUCAAGCAUUACAACUGGUAACUUGCUAAAACUGCACCCACUUAUGUCUUUUGCUGCAUGAGGUCCAUAAAAUAGGUGACCUACUACUGGUUUAGCAGGUUAAACAUUACUAUUAAUCAGUACUCUGUUGUGACGGUAACUCAAGAAGAGGGAGAAGUUCAAGUUAACAAGUCAAGAGGAUCUUUGCUGAGUUGUAUUUUAGGAGGG
rnacentral:misc_RNA from 1 species